rnacentral:rRNA from 1 species
AGUGAACGCUGGCGGUAGGCCUAACACAUGCAAGUCGAACGGCAGCACAGUAAGAGCUUGCUCUUACGGGUGGCGAGUGGCGGACGGGUGAGGAAUACAUCGGAAUCUACUUUUUCGUGGGGGAUAACGUAGGGAAACUUACGCUAAUACCGCAUACGACCUACGGGUGAAAGCAGGGGAUCUUCGGACCUUGCGCGAUUGAAUGAGCCGAUGUCGGAUUAGCUAGUUGGCGGGGUAAAGGCCCACCAAGGCGACGAUCCGUAGCUGGUCUGAGAGGAUGAUCAGCCACACUGGAACUGAGACACGGUCCAGACUCCUACGGGAGGCAGCAGUGGGGAAUAUUGGACAAAGGGCGCAAGCCUGAUCCAGCCAUACCGCGUGGGUCAAGAAGGCCUUCGGGUUGUAAAGCCCUUUUGUUGGGAAAGAAAAGCAGCAGGUUAAUACCCCGCUGUUCUGACGGUACCCAAAGAAUAAGCACCGGCUAACUUCGUG